rnacentral:rRNA from 1 species
GACGAACGCUGGCGGCGUGCUUAACACAUGCAAGUCGAACGAUGUGGCGAACGGGUGAGUAAUACGUGAGUAACCUGCCCUCCUUUUUGGGAUAAGCCUUGGAAACGGGGUCUAAUACCGGAUAAAGGGGGAUGGGGACGCGGGAUAUCAGCUUGUUGGUGGGGUGAUGGCCUACCAAGGCGGUGACGGGUAGCCGGCCUGAGAGGUUGACCGGCCACGUUGGGACUGGGAUACGGCCCAGACUCCUACGUGAGGGAGCAGUGGGGGAUAUUGCGCAAUGGGCGAAAGCGUGAUGCAGCGACGCCGAGUGGGGGAUGAAGGCUUUCGGGUUGUAAACCUCUUUCGCUAUCGAACGCUUUUUUGUCUUCGAAGCGCCGGCUAACUACGUGCCAGCAGCCGCGGUAAUAC